rnacentral:lncRNA from 1 species
UUAAAUUUUACCUCAAAUUAAAAUAUAUUUUUCAUGCUUAUGAAUAUCAAAAUAUUUCAAAUUCGUUCCACUAAUAAAUUUUUUUUGCUAUCUUAAAAUUAAAAUCCAUUACUUUUUAAUCCAGAUAAAUUCAACAUGUCACUUGUUUAUUGGUUCAAACAUGGGUCAUGAGAGGAGUAAUUUCUCAGAGGUAAAAAUCGCCAUAAAUACAGAAAAAAAAAUCCACAAAUUUAUAAAUCCCUCUACCCUAACCUUUUUAAUCUUCAAACCCUCUAAAUCAUAGAUUCAUAGCAACUCAUCCCCCAAAACGAACCUUAACCUCAAACCCAGUACCGUCUGCACCCACCAAUACAGCCACAGACUCAAUGCCAUAAAACCAAAGCCAAUAGACACUCAAACCCACACACCAGAAGCAUAGCUACGGGACCAAUAACGCGUGCCAUCACCAAAAUCCACCAAUAAACCCAUCCGCGAACCUUCCGUUAAUCGGCGAAGCCUUUCGCGCAGGAAACAAGCAAUUCACCACCGUGAAUAUCAGAUUGUAACACCACCACACGAAUUCCUUACCUCUGCGAAUCCCUAAACCGUAACACGGCCACUCGCGGGCAUUGCAAGUCGCCCUCUGUCAUCGUGAGACACCAUCGCCGCUUUCCGUCCACCGCCAUGAAACCCGAAGCGGCAAUCUGUUCACUCUCUGCACUCACCCACGAGCCACGAGUCCCAAAUCCCUCUUUCUCUCGCUGCUUGUUGUUGUUCUGGUGCACGUUUGUUUGUGUUCAAUUUUUAAUCUUCAAUUUGAGGUAAUUAAGGGGCUUUGCUGAAUGUUUAUUGGGCCCGACAAUUUCAAAGGAAUAAGCUUGGGUCUAGUAAGAUGAGGUUGCACUUACUUG